GAACGCUAUUUACAGGCUUAACACAUGCAAGUCGAGGGGCAGCAUGGUCUUAGCUUGCUAAGGCCGAUGGCGACCGGCGCACGGGUGAGUAACACGUAUCCAACCUGCCGUCUACUCUUGGACAGCCUUCUGAAAGGAAGAUUAAUACAAGAUGGCAUCAUGAGUCCACAUGUUCACAUGAUUAAAGGUAUUCCGGUAGACGAUGGGGAUGCGUUCCAUUAGAUAGUAGGCGGGGUAACGGCCCACCUAGUCUUCGAUGGAUAGGGGUUCUGAGAGGAAGGUCCCCCACAUUGGAACUGAGACACGGUCCAAACUCCUACGGGAGGCAGCAGUGAGGAAUAUUGGUCAAUGGGCGAGAGCCUGAACCAGCCAAGUAGCGUGAAGGAUGACUGCCCUAUGGGUUGUAAACUUCUUUUAUAAAGGAAUAAAGUCGGGUAUGGAUACCCGUUUGCAUGUACUUUAUGAAUAAGGAUCGGCUAACUCCGUGCCAGCAGCCGCGGUAAUACGGAGGAUCCGAGCGUUAUCCGGAUUUAUUGGGUUUAAAGGGAGCGUAGAUGGAUGUUUAAGUCAGUUGUGAAAGUUUGCGGCUCAACCGUAAAAUUGCAGUUGAUACUGGAUAUCUUGAGUGCAGUUGAGGCAGGCGGAAUUCGUGGUGUAGCGGUGAAAUGCUUAGAUAUCACGAAGAACUCCGAUUGCGAAGGCAGCCUGCUAAGCUGCAACUGACAUUGAGGCUCGAAAGUGUGGGUAUCAAACAGGAUUAGAUACCCUGGUAGUCCACACGGUAAACGAUGAAUACUCGCUGUUUGCGAUAUACAGCAAGCGGCCAAGCGAAAGCGUUAAGUAUUCCACCUGGGGAGUACGCCGGCAACGGUGAAACUCAAAGGAAUUGACGGGGGCCCGCACAAGCGGAGGAACAUGUGGUUUAAUUCGAUGAUACGCGAGGAACCUUACCCGGGCUUAAAUUGCAGAUGAAUUACGGUGAAAGCCGUAAGCCGCAAGGCAUCUGUGAAGGUGCUGCAUGGUUGUCGUCAGCUCGUGCCGUGAGGUGUCGGCUUAAGUGCCAUAACGAGCGCAACCCUUGUUGUCAGUUACUAACAGGUUCCGCUGAGGACUCUGACAAGACUGCCAUCGUAAGAUGUGAGGAAGGUGGGGAUGACGUCAAAUCAGCACGGCCCUUACGUCCGGGGCUACACACGUGUUACAAUGGGGGGUACAGAGAGCCGCUACCACGCGAGUGGAUGCCAAUCCCAAAAACCUCUCUCAGUUCGGACUGGAGUCUGCAACCCGACUCCACGAAGCUGGAUUCGCUAGUAAUCGCGCAUCAGCCACGGCGCGGUGAAUACGUUCCCGGGCCUUGUACACACCGCCCGUCAAGCCAUGGGAGCCGGGGGUACCUGAAGUGCGUAACCGCGAGGAGCGCCCUAGGGUAAAACUGGUGAUUG
rnacentral:rRNA from 1 species